GUUCUCUGGACUGCAAGUGUUCCAGACUGGGUACUCCAGGGGUUGGAAAAACUAUACUAGGCAAAGAACUUGCAUCAAGAUCAGGACUGAAAUACAUUAAUGUGGGUGAUUUAGCUCAAGAAGGGCAGUUAUAUAAUGGCUAUAAAUAAUGAAGAGUAUGAUUGUCCCAUUUUAGAUGAAGAUAGAGUAGUUGUUGAGUUAAAAAACCAAAUAAGAGAAGGUGGAACUAUUGUUGAUUACCAUGGUCGUGAUUUCUUCCCUGAACGCUGGUUUCACGUAGUUUUUGUGUUGAGAACAGAUAACAGUGUAUUGUACAAAAGACUUGAAACAAGGGGUUAUGGUGAGAAGAAAUUAAAAGGUAUCAUGCAGUGUGAGAUUUUUCAAGUUCUUUAUGAAGAAGCCAUAGCAUCCUAAAAAGAAGAAAUUGUGCAUCAACUGUCCAGCAAUAAACCAGAAGAUCUAAAAGAUAAUAUAAA
rnacentral:lncRNA from 1 species